CCUACGGGGCGCAGCAGUAGGGAAUCUUCCACAAUGGACGAAAGUCUGAUGGAGCAACGCCGCGUGAGUGAAGAAGGGUUUCGGCUCGUAAAGCUCUGUUGGUAGAGAAGAAAGAUAGAGGUAGUAACUGGCCUUUAUUUGACGGUAAUUACUUAGGAAGUCACGGCUAACUACGUGGCAGCAGCCGCGGUAAUACGAAGGUGGCAAGCGUUGUCCGGAGUUAUUGGGCGGAAAGCGAGUGCAGGCGGGUG
rnacentral:rRNA from 1 species